AACAAAAAAUAGCAGAACAGCAGCUCACAGCCUAGAAUAGGGACAAAAGACAGAGAGAUCCAUGUGGGUCUGAGGCUGCAAACUCAGGACACUGUGCUGAGCAGACUUGAAAGCUCAGUGGGGUGAAUGAUGCCAGGCGCUAGGGGAUCAACUAGUGAUGUCUGCCACAGGCUUGGGAAGAAGACAGGAGCACACUACAGCUUUUUAGACACCCUGUCCAUGUUGAGAGACGUGGCUCAAAACCACCCCUCAAGAGUCAGAUUCCAGCAUCAUAGGAGCUCAACAAUGGUGAGGUUGUCCCUGCCACUGUGUAUUUUAGGCAACUGCUCUAUUAUCCUACCUGUAGGAUACCAACCUCUCUCUUCUCAUUAUGUAAGCUCCUUGGUUGUAGAGUCUUCUAACCCGUCUUCAUUUGACCACGCCAUCCCUUCCCUUUCUCAUGUCUGACUUCCACGUUCUGACUUUCUUCUGGUGCAUUUGCUCAGCAUGCAAGGGCCACUGGACAUGAGAUCAGUUGCACCACAGUUGAAGACAGGCUCAGCUGCAUGGAGCACAUGGCUCUGUAUGGCGUGUGCUAGCUCUGCUGAUGGACCUUCCUUUGGAUUUGUCGCAAUGUACUCCUUAGGCUUGGCAGCCUAUGAUCUGGAGAUAAGAUGUAGCCCAAACUAAAUCCGGGGGGUCAAUCAGAGUCAGUAAUGAUCAUCUGAGCCAGAUCUGUCUGCAGAGGUCACCGCAUUAGUGAGGGGACAGGGAAUAGCUAAAUUCAGAACAAAAGACCAGCAAGUAGAGACCUCGGGGUCCCAGUGGCUGGGCUGCUGGUAGACGAGGAGGUUGAUUUCUCUCAGCUCUCUGUUAGUUUGUGGACCAAGCUUGACAGGUUGGUUAACUCUUAUACCAGCCAAUGCUGCUGCCGCCCAGUAUGGGGUCUAAGUUGUCCAAAGAUCAGCCACAGAGUGAGACGUUCGUCUGUCCUGGUGGAGUGACUCAUGACUCUCCACACUGAAUUCUUUCCUUGCUCUCAAACAUUCUGGUGGGAAUUUGUUAAGUCAUUCAGGUGAGAAAACCAAACAAUGCUGCUUCUUUUUCCCCCCUCUCACUUUUAUUAGUCCUUUGAGGAUUUUAUACAAUGACUUUGAUCAUAUCUACCUCCUCUCCCAACCCCCGCCCCAAGGUUCACGCCUUUCCACACAUUCCCAUCUCUGUGUCUUUUUAAAAAAAUAACCCAUCAAUCCAGUUUGUGCUGCCUAUAUUCUCCUGGGUGCAUGCAUGACCUUCUAUUGGACUGACCCGCCAGAAGUCACACCCUUAAAGACAACCGACUCUCCCUUUUCUAGCCAAUUGCCAAUAGCUCCUUAGCUAGGGGUGGGGCUUCAUGCCUAUCUCAUCUCUCUGUGCUGAGAUUCAGCCUGACCUGUGCAUGGUGUCACAACCACCAUGAGGUCAUAUGUCCAGCUGCCCUGGUGUGUCUGGGAAAACACAGUUUGCUUGAAAUCAUACACAGCCUCCGGCUCUGACAUUCUCUCCCAUCUCUUCCACACUGGCCCCUGAGUCUUGAGAGGAGGACCAGUAUAAGGCAGACCUGCUGUUUGGGGAGGAGCUUUCUGUCGUCUCUUAUUCCCUACACCUGACCAGUUAUGGGUCUCCGUGUUAAUUGUGAUCUACUCCAGAAAGAAACUUCUCUGAUGAGGGGGAAGCCAUGAGUAUAUUUGCAAAGUUCCUUUCUGUCAGAGAAGGGUAGGUACGCAGAUGUCAGUGCAGGGUUACCCGGUCCUUCCACACAGUUGUGAAGGCAUUCUUUGUAACAUCUGCAGGUUCCAAUUCAUUAAGGAAUGUGGAGCCCUACAGCAUGGAGGCAAGGUUUCCAGCUUUAGGCCCCUGAAUCAGGCAAGGCCCUUUUUAUGUUCCUGUGUCAGGCAAGACUCCCCUCAUGCCCUUGGGUCAGGUAAGGCCCUCCUUAUGUCUCUGUGUCAGGCAAGGCCCUCAUCGUGUCCCUGUGUCAGGCAAGGUCCCCCUUAGGCCCCUGGGUCAGGUGAGACUCUCUUCAUGCCCCUGAGUCAAGCAAGACCUUCCUCAUGUCUCUGGGUCUGGCAAUACCCUCCUUAGGCCCUGGGUCAGACAAGGUCCUCCUUAUGUCCCUGGGUUAGGGAAACCCCCACCCCCAUGCCCUUGGGUCAGGUAAGGCCCUCUGUAUGUUCCUGGGCUAGGUAAGGUCCUUCUCAUGCCCCUGGGUCAAGCAAGACCUUCCUCAUGGCCCUGUAUCAGGCAAGACCUUCCUCAUGGCCCUGGGUCAAGCAAGGACCUCCUCAUGCCCCUGGGUCAGGCAAGGCCCACCUCAUGGCCCUGGGUCAGGCAAGGCCCACCUCUGGACAAGCUAUGGGUUAACUAUUUUCUCUUUUGCCCUUCAGUCCAUACCUUUGCUUCUGGGAAUGACUUCAAUCCCCACACUCUCAGAAGAGUCAAGAAAAAAGCCCCCAUGAACACUGGCAAAAAAAGACCAUGGGGGUUAGGUACCCAUUUCAGAAAGCAGUGUCUGGGCACUGUGUCUCGCUGUGGCCUCUUCCUGCCACUGCCCUCUCUGCUUUGCUUCACGGCCCCUGUACUGUGAUCUGCACAGCCACAUCAUGCCCUCCUCACCACAAUGGCCUCUGAAAUGUUGGACAGAACACAUCCUGCCUCAUUCAAGUUGUUCCUUCAGACAUUUGUCCCACAUCAUUGAGGAACGUAACUAAUACAUCAGCCCUGAAGAUUCUCCUGGCCCCCAGAGCUCCUCCUUUCCAAUGAUAGAAUGUCGGAGUUUGAGAAGUUUCUGGACCAAAAUGAAUUUAGAAUCAAAUGUGAAAUGAACCGGAGAGGUUCCCAGCUGCACUUGCCUGGGUUCCACUGUGCGACUUAGCAGAAAGCCUGCUUCUGAACCCACCACCCACUUGACUUUGUGCUGAGCAUGCUCUCCUGCCACCCGUGAGGCUACCGUAUGCUGUGAACUGCAGCAUUGUGUAGAAACAUGAUUUUGUUAUGGAAGAUAAAGACUUUCCUCGGCAUGUAGGCGUCAGGAUAGUGUGGUUUUGGACUGUAUUGUGGUAGAAUGUUUGAUUCUAAGUCAGUGAGUUUUGACAUGAGAUUAAAUAUUUCUAGCCAUUUCUGAUACAGCUCUGAUGUAUUUCUGCCACACUGUUCUGUGUAGCUAUGUUCUCAGCAUUAAUGUUUAUAAAAUCAAAACUCUGAAAAGUGUUGGUGAUUCUCAGGGAUCCUAAUAUCAAAGAUUCAGGCAGUAUUUAAUUAUUUAUGCAAACAGAAAAUUAACAUACCCAUAUCAAUAGUAUGCACAUUUCUGUAUAUACCAAAUAAUUACUUAUUCAAAUUUAAAUUUUCUUUAUGAUGCAUUCAUUACCAGCGAACAUUUGAGUUGUAUAAUCGUCUACUAGGGUCACAUAAAAAUUUCUCAGAUAAGGGCUCAGUUGGGAGAGUGUUUGUCCAGCACACACUAAGUCCUGGGCUUGAUCAACAGCCCCACAUUAACCCAGACAUGGUAGCAUAAGCUGUAAUUGCAGCAGGAAGCUCAGACCUUCAAAGUCAUUCCCUGCUACACUGUGAGUUCAAGGUCAGCC